UGCGUAGGCGGCGCGGUAAGUCGGGUGUGAAAUCUCGGGGCGUAACUCCGAAACUGCAUUCGAUACUGCCGUGCUUGAGGACUGGAGAGGAGACUGGAAUUUACGGUGUAGCGGUGAAAUGCGUAGAUAUCGUAAGGAAGACCAGUGGCGAAGGCGGGUCUCUGGACAGUUCCUGACGCUGAGGCACGAAGGUCAGGGGGAGCAAACGG
rnacentral:rRNA from 1 species